AAUAAAUGUCCACGGGGAAGAAAGGAAAGAAAAAUAGCUGUCAUAUAUAUAUAUAUAUAUAUAUAUAUAUGACAGCUAUUUUUCUUUCCUUUCUUCCCCGUGGACAUUUAUU
rnacentral:miRNA from 1 species